rnacentral:misc_RNA from 1 species
CAAGGAAUAGCAUGUUCUGCUACUAACCAACUACAGGAACUGAUACAUAUUUUUUAAGCAAUAGGGACUCUAAUAUUUUUCAUGCAAAAUCUUAGGAAAAGUAAUUAUCUCUUUUUUCUUCUUUCAUUUCUUUCCCCAUGUUUUUAUAAUUUUGAAUUUUCUUUCUCAAAAUUGGUUGCAUUUUUUUUCUUUUACUUUACUGGAUUGAUAAUUUCAACUAAAGAUAUUUUGUAAUCAGCUCAAUAAUCUUCAGAAGGUUUUUCCCAAAUUCAUUAACAAGGAAAAAAAAUUCACUAUUUCUUUUAUCUUUCCUCUUUAUUCCUCUUUCUUAUUUUAUUUCUUCUUUUGACAAUCGUUGCAAAAGUUAGUUAAGUUUAGAUGUUUG